rnacentral:rRNA from 1 species
GCAGCAGGCGCGAAAACUUUGCAAUAAGCGAAAGCUUGACAGGGCUAUCCCGAGUGCCAUCCGCUGAGGAAGGCUUUUACCCAGUCUAGAACGCUGGGGGAAUAAGGAGAGGGCAAGUCUGGUGUCAGCCGCCGCGGUAAUACCAGCUCUCCGAGUGGUGUGGAUGUUUAUUGGGCCUAAAGCAUCCGUAGCUGGCUAAGUUAGUCCCUUGUUAAAUCCACCGAAUUAAUCGUUGGAUUGCGGGGGAUACUGCUUGGCUAGGGGACGAGAGAGGCAGACGGUAUUUCCGGGGUAGGGGUGAAAUCCUAUAAUCCCGGGAAGACCACCAGUGGCGAAGGCUGUCUGCUAGAACGCGCCCGACGGUGAGGGAUGAAAGCUGGGGGAGCGAACCGGAUUAGAUACCCGGGUAGUCCCAGCUGUAAACGAUGCAGGCUAGGUGUUUGGACGGCCACGUGCCGUUCUAGUGCCGCAGGGAAGCUGUUAAGCCUGCCGCCUGGGGAGUACGAUCGCAAGAUUGAAACUUAAAGGAAUUGGCGGGGGAGCAC